UAAAACACUCCGAUUUCUCCAAAGCCACUCCUUCCGAAAAGCCCAGAGUGCUCUGAUUGUCCAGCUGACCUGUUGCAUUGUGAUUGGCCAAAAACCUCAAGCAUGUGUCGGAAAUGUAACACCCCUUGGGUUAGCUCCAGUCUCCAAAGCUUCUAAAGCAAUCCUAAGCUCCUAAGCAACAUGUUUAAUUUUAUCAUAUCAGUUUGAGCCGUCCGAUUCAGAAAAUGUGGGUGAUCACGCGGAACCAACUUUGCAAACAUGACUUGUGCAGAGCAUUUCAGUGUUACCAUUGUGUGGGAUGAGCUGAGGAGUGGAUGGCUGGUAUAUGGUGAUUGCCUUGCGGAAUCUCCGAUGGGGGUCCGUGCGCAUAAAGGAAGCAAGAGGCAGACUGACUGUGGGGAGAGUGGGAUGUUUUGUGUUCAUUUUCUUUACUUUCUUAUUCAUAAUUGUGUAUUUCUUUCUUUAUUUUUCUUGAUUUAUUUGUUUCUAUCUUUAUUUCAAUUAUUCAGCUGGCCUUGUCUUUAAUGUUGUAUUUUGAGGUUUGUAGUGUUUUGUUUUCAUAUGCGUGUCUAAAGUGGACUAGUCCGUCUGUAUAAAUGUGCCUCUGUUGAUUUAUUUAAGUCAGUUUGGUUUAUCUGUGUGCUAUGACUUACUAAUUCAUUAAUCAGAGUUUCUAGUUAGUUAACAGUAGUUGCUAGAAUGUUAAUAUUGCGUUAUUCAUUUCUUCCUGUGUAGUUAAUCAUUAAUGACGGAUCAGUAUUCUAAAGUGUUACCACAUCAAGAUUAAGGAUUUCCAGUUGUAGGAUCACUUUCCCUUUUCUUCUCAUGGCUAUACAGUAAAGACACAAUGUAGGUGAUAUAAAUUUGAUUUUGAAGCAUUCUAAAGCAUUCAUCAUUCACUAACACUAGUUAAAUUGAAGUGCUUCAAUAGAAUAACCAUGCCACUGACACUGACAAGCUUUUCCUGCAAAUUGAUCACACAAGGUUUUUUCUUUCUUGUCCCCAGAAAAGUUAUGCCUCUUUUUUAUUCCCAUUGUGAAGCAGGAACUAUUUUUUCACUUUCUGUUUACUGAAUAUUGUGGAUCGUUUAUUGGCACACUGCCCCCUAGUGCAGACUCUCACUUCUACGAGCAGGUAUGACAGGCAGACACACCAUGAUGCCCUGGCGUGAUUGGAGAUUCACAGCCCCAGACAUAUACACAUGCAAACAAAUAGGCAUGCAUGUAUCAUGACAAAACACAGUUAACUCUAUCCCUGAAGUCAGUUAUGCAGUAAAAUAUAUUGGAAUGUGUCUAUCAGAUAGGACGAAGUGCUCCCGGUACGCCUGUCUUACAGACUAGAUGCUACAACACUAUUACCUCCAUACAUCAUGUGAAAUUAGCAGCAGGGGCCGCCGUCAGCCCAGACAUUGGCACUUAAUCUUGACUUUUUGGCAGACUGUUGCCAUAACGGGUCAAAUGACAGCCAUUAAUCAAAUGUCCCUGGAGCCAAGGGAGGGAGCAUGAGUGGAAAGUUGGGGGGGUGCAUGGCAUUGCCGCUAUGUAGAAAGCAUGAGCGCUGGUGGGAUUUGGAGGCAUGAAAACAAAAUGAAAGCUUCUCCUAGAAAUAAGCCUACUCAUAAACCCUAACCCAAGGAAAUAAUCCAGUCUAUUUCACAAAAGAUUAAGCCUCUUAAAUAAAAUGCAUUGCCUCAUUUUCUUUAUUUAGCAGGCUUAAUACUAGAUUAUGGAGAGAUGACUUGAAGUUGGGAAUUUGCAGGAAAUUUGCAGGGUCUGGAUAGCAGUUCAUGUUGAUAGAGUUUGUCUUUACACAGGUCGGCACAAGAGCUUUACUUUAUCCACAGGCCACACAUAUACUUGUGAUUGUAAUGUUACACCGAGCAAUUAAUGUGAGUCAUCCUUCUUUUAAUUUGCAUAACUGGAAAGAGGAUAUUCAGUAUUUAGGGAAAGAACAAAACAACAUAAAGCAUCUUAGUAAGUUAUUCGGGGACCACCACAAGCCACCAGAAGACUCUCAAUGCACCUUGGCAUUGAUAAUACCAGUCUCUGGAGCAGUACUAGAGGGACGGAAACAAUUCUUCCAACAGAUAUUUGCUGUUUUGAUUUGUUUUGAUGGCAGUGGAGAGCGAAUACAGAAUACCUUUGUAUUGAUUUGCAGUGACUCUUCUCUCUAAAGGAGACAAGUGGACCUAAACCAUGCCAGAAAAUUCCUCCCACAGCAUAAUAUACCAUGUUUUUUUUCCUUUAAUUUGUCAACCAUCUGUAUAUGCAGGAUGUCUCAGAAUACCAAAAAGUCUUUUUGGUCCAUAAUCUAUAGUAUACUAUGUAUAUUCCUGAUCAGCCAGGCAAAUACACACCAAAAAUCUCACUCUCAUACCCAAAGUGACACACACUGAUCUCUGUGGUUAGCCGUCCUGGUGGCUGUCAGGCUGUUGACAGACAAUUGCUGUCCCCUGAGUGAUUAAAGCAUGGAGC
ensembl:lncRNA